AGUGGGAUAGCUGGAUCAAAUGGUGGUUCCAUUCCAAUUUUUCUAAGGAAUCUCCAUACUGCUUUCCAGAUUGAUGGCACCAAUUUGCCGUCCCACUAGCAAU
rnacentral:pre_miRNA from 1 species